rnacentral:ncRNA from 1 species
UUUUCCUGAGGAUAGCUGGAGCCCGCAAGUGAGAUUUAUCGGGUAAAUCCAAUGAUAAGAGGCAUCGGGGGCACAACGCCCUUGACCUAUUCUCAAGCUUCAAAUAGGUAGGACGUCGCAACUGCUUUGUUGAACCAAACCACAUAAUCGAGAGCUCCAAGUGGGCCUGUUUUUGUAAGCGAACUGGCGAUGCGGGAUGAAUCGAAAGCCGGGUUAUGGUGCCCAACAUUGUGCUAACCUUUAACCCACAAAGGGUUUUGGUCGAUUAAGAUAGUAGGACGGUUGUCAUGGAAGUCAAAAUCUGCUAUGGAAUGUGUAACAACUCACCUACCGAAUAAACUAGCCACGAAAAAGACGGCGUUGAAGCAAUGAGGGACCGACCUCGAUGAGUA